rnacentral:rRNA from 1 species
AUUGAACGCUGGCGGCAUGCUUUACACAUGCAAGUCGAACGGUAACAGGGAGCUUGCUCCGCUGACGAGUGGCGAACGGGUGAGUAAUGCGUCGGAACGUGCCGAGUAGUGGGGGAUAACGCAUCGAAAGGUGUGCUAAUACCGCAUACGUACUGAGGUAGAAAGUGGGGGACCUUCGGGCCUCACGCUAUUCGAGCGGCCGACGUCUGAUUAGCUAGUUGGUGAGGUAAAGGCUCACCAAGGCGACGAUCAGUAGCGGGUCUGAGAGGAUGAUCGGCCACACUGGGACUGAAACACGGCCCAGACUCCUACGGGAGGCAGCAGUGGGGAAUUUUGGACAAUGGGCGCAAGCCUGAUCCAGCCAUGCCGCGUGUCUGAAGAAGGCCUUCGGGUUGUAAAGGACUUUUGUCCGGGAGCAAAUGCCUGGUGUUAAUAGCACUGGGAGCUGAGAGUACCGGAAGAAUAAGCACCGGCUAACUACGUGCCAGCCGCCGCCGUAACAC